GUCAGUUGUUGUAUUGGACCAUAGUCCCCUGGCGAUAAGGUUAUUUAAAUUUGUGUGUCAUCCGCAGAACUAUGG